AUCUGUACCAGUAUAGUGGGGGAUGAAGCGCAGAAUGUAUGGCUUGUGUUUCGAUCUGGGUCAUAAAUAUAUUAGCAAGAAUGGGCAAAACAGGAUUGCCUGUACUUAAACCAUCUAUUUGAAGGAAAUGUUCAUUGUUGAAAAUGAAGUUGUAGAGUUUUUUCUUCAUUACCCAUUCAAG